rnacentral:rRNA from 1 species
GAUGAACGCUGGCGGCGUGCCUAAUACAUGCAAGUCGAGCGAACAGAUGAGGAGCUUGCUCCUCUGACGUUAGCGGCGGACGGGUGAGUAACACGUGGAUAACCUACCUAUAAGACUGGGAUAACUUCGGGAAACCGGAGCUAAUACCGGAUAAUAUAUUGAACCGCAUGGUUCAAUAGUGAAAGACGGUUUUGCUGUCACUUAUAGAUGGAUCCGCGCCGCAUUAGGUAGUUGGUAAGGUAACGGCUUACCAAGGCAACGAUGCGUAUCCGACCUGAGAGGGUGAUCGGCCACACUGGAACUGAGACACGGUCAAGACUACUACGGGAGGCAGCAGUAGGGAAUCUUCCGCAAUGGGCGAAAGCAUGACGGAGCAGCGCCGCGUGAGUGAUGAAGGUCUUCGGAUCGUAAAACUCUGUUAUUAGGGAAGAACAAAUGUGUAAGUAACUAUGCACGUCUUGACGGUACCUAAUAAGAAAGCCACGGCUAACUACGUG